rnacentral:rRNA from 9 species
AGACCCGAAACCCGGUGAUCUAGCCAUGGGCAGGUUGAAGGUUGGGUAACACUAACUGGAGGACCGAACCGACUAAUGUUGAAAAAUUAGCGGAUGACCUGUGGCUGGGGGUGAAAGGCCAAUCAAACCGGGAGAUAGCUGGUUCUCCCCGAAAGCUAUUUAGGUAGCGCCUCGUGAAUUCAUCUCCGGGGGUAGAGCACUGUUUCGGCUAGGGGGCCAUCCCGGCUUACCAACCCGAUGCAAACUGCGAAUACCGGAGAAUGUUAUCACGGGAGACACACGGCGGGUGCUAACGUCCGUCGUGAAGAGGGAAACAACCCAGACCGCCAGCUAAGGUCCCAAAGUCAUGGUUAAGUGGGAAACGAUGUGGGAAGGCCCAGACAGCCAGGAUGUUGGCUUAGAAGCAGCCAUCAUUUAAAGAAAGCGUAAUAGCUCACUGGUCGAGUCGGCCUGCGCGGAAGAUGUAACGGGGCUAAACCAUGCACCGAAGCUGCGGCAGCGACGCUGAUGCGU